rnacentral:rRNA from 1 species
AGUGAACGCUGGCGGUAGGCCUAACACAUGCAAGUCGAACGGCAGCACAGUAAGAGCUUGCUCUUACGGGUGGCGAGUGGCGGACGGGUGAGGAAUACAUCGGAAUCUACUUUUUCGUGGGGGAUAACGUAGGGAAACUUACGCUAAUACCGCAUACGACCUACGGGUGAAAGCAGGGGAUCUUCGGACCUUGCGCGAUUGAAUGAGCCGAUGUCGGAUUAGCUAGUUGGCGGGGUAAAGGCCCACCAAGGCGACGAUCCGUAGCUGGUCUGAGAGGAUGAUCAGCCACACUGGAACUGAGCAACGGUCCAGACUCCUACGGGAGGCAGCAGUGGGGAAUAUUGGACAAUGGGCGCAAGCCUGAUCCAGCCAUACCGCGUGGGUGAAGAAGGCCUUCGGGUUGUAAAGCCCUUUUGUUGGGAAAGAAAAGCAGCAGGUUAAUACCCAGCUGUUCUGACGGUACCCAAAGAAUAAGCACCGGCUAACUUCGUG